rfam:Drosophila busckii chromosome 2R sequence.
GCAUUUUCAGGACGUGAUAUGUGCCUAUAUGUUGGUUAACUAUAUACUCAUAUUGCACAUCUCCCGGCCUAUAAGUGU